rnacentral:lncRNA from 1 species
GUAAAAUGUAAAACCAUCAUAUGGUAUUUUCACAACUUGGAGAAAGAUGUAUUACAGCAAACAAUCUCACUGGUAUUAAAGUGCUAAAAACUUGAACUCUUCCAGUUGUGAGGUAAUAAAAUAUAGCUAAGCUUUCCUAGCAAAGAGGGGGAAAAACUGAAAACCAGCUACUCAAGAUUGCAUAUGGAGCGAUGCUAAGGAGAGACAGAAUUUCAUCCAGAGCUGCUGAAAUCCAGGCGUGUGUUACACCACCAUCUCCCCUCCAGCCUGCAAUCCAUCAACCAUCUCCACCUUACUCUUCACACUUAGGAUUAUGAUCAAGUCUAUGUACUAAAGGGGGAAAGACCAAACAAACAUUACACUGAAAGUGUCCCUGCUUUGAACCAGCAGGAGAUUCCAGUUACUUCACUGGAACUGGUUAAGCGGCUGAAAUGAAAUGGGUGCUAGGAGAGAUCACCACGUCAGGACAGAGACUUGAUUUUCAGGGUUGGAGGAGAUCAGACGAAGACGAAUGAGAUUCUGAGUCUUAGUACAAGGUCAAGGCCCCCGGAAUUACAAAGAGCUGGUGGGUCAGUGAGGGGGCCUGUGGGUUGGGAAGCGGCAAAAACUAGCGCCAAAAAAGAAAACCCUGAACUAAUUUGUUAGUAGGUAAAUGCACUCAGAGCGGUGACGAGCAGCCCCAACGCUCGCUGAGAUCCUCAGAGUUUUACAAACCGACCCUCCUGAAAUUUCAAGGGCUUGGAUCCCUCGUAAGUCAUUAUCUACUAUAUGGUACCCUAGUUUCCCGAACAGGCUACCUGCCCCUGACCCUUUUCCCACGACCUUGGCUCCUCCUCGGCCUACAGCGCCCCCGGGGCUCCUCUCAGCCUCCCACACAGACAGACAGAACGACCGGACAGUGCGGCGGGGGCCAACCCAAUUCCCCCACUCCAUCAGGACGCCCACUCCAUCCAGGCGGCCAGGAACCCCCGGAACCCGAAAACCGCAGAGCGCCGCACUCGCCCGCCGCCUGUGCGGCCGCCAGGUCUCGGUGAUUGUCCGGUGUGACCCAGCUCAAAGCCAACGAAUUUGAAGAGGAAGCGGAAGGCCUCAAGAGAUAAGAUGAGAGGAGAAAGGGAACAGCUCUCAUCCUCACCUCAGAUCAGACCCCUGCCCCCCUGCCUCUGGACGCACUCAGGUGCUGAUAGAAUGUCUGGAACUGCAGCAGGAUCUUGAGACCAGGAGAAGCAGCCCAGAAGAAUGAAAGCCAUACACAAAUACUGAACUUACCCCAUAAGGAUGACUCCACGUGCACGUAAGGGGUAAAUCCUUGUGGUCUGAGGACCAAGAAAAUUAGCAUCACUUGGAUCUUGUUAGAAAUACGAAAUCUCAGGCCCCACUCCAGACUGGCUGAACACCCAGAUUAGCAAGCUCCCCAGAUGAUUCAGUUGUGUUUUACAGUUUGAGAAGCUCUAGCUCAAACUCCUGUUGGUUGGAUUUUUCUGAUACUUCAGUUGAAUAUUUUGGAACUUGUGAGCGGAAAAAAGUAGUGAGUGAUCAAAGGAUUGAAGAUUCUGAAGAGAAUUAAGUGAAUAUGGAAGGAUGAGACCAAGAAUGCAAAUGAAGUUGCCAGAUGGCCUGGGUCUCCAUGAGGAGAGAGCAGAAAUCACCCAUUCAGAGUAAAUAUAAGAAAGAGGAAAUGGUGGGGAGUUUCUUAGCAACUCAGGUGGGGAAUAUCAGAAAUCCUGCAUGACAGCUCAUCAGGGGAGUUGGACAGCUUGAAUAAGAGGUCCAUGGAUCUAACUUUUCCUGCACUCUAAAAGCCCCAGAACUGAGAGAGCAGACAGCUUCAAAUUAACCCAGUGGGAACUUAGGGGGACCAAGGUCACAAUUAAGGUCAUCACUGAAAGGCUGACCAUGGAGCACGUGGUGGAUUAAAACUAUGGUGGACAAACACAAGUAAACCACUUGAGUUCAGUGGGGAGAGUUUCAAGCAUGCAGUCCUGGGAAGGAAGGCCUAAGAGAAUGUUCAGUAGUGGCAGUAGAGGAAUAUCAGGAAAAAAAAAAAAAAAAAAAUAUAUAUAUAUAUAUAU